rnacentral:lncRNA from 1 species
AGCGAGUUUCGUCAGUCUAGCAGUGAGCUGCCAAGGCAGCGCGAAGACGGAGCGCAAGGAUUGAUUCACCGCCAGCGGCCCUCACAAGAUAGCCGUCUCGCAGAUUUUGGGAACAUCUGACGGGAGAGCGGCAAGCGGUCGCACCUGCUUGGCCUUGGU